CGUGCCUAAUACAUGCAAGUAGAACGCUGAAGGAAGAGCUUGCUCUUCUGGAUGAGUUGCGAACGGGUGAGUAACGCGUAGGUAACCUGCCUGGUAGCGGGGGAUAACUAUUGGAAACGAUAGCUAAUACCGCAUAACAUUGACUAUUGCAUGAUAGUCAAUUAAAAGGUGCAAAUGCACCACUACCAGAUGGACCUGCGUUGUAUUAGCUAGUUGGUGGGGUAACGGCUCACCAAGGCGACGAUACAUAGCCGACCUGAGAGGGUGAUCGGCCACACUGGGACUGAGACACGGCCCAGACUCCUACGGGAGGCAGCAGUAGGGAAUCUUCGGCAAUGGACGGAAGUCUGACCGAGCAACGCCGCGUGAGUGAAGAAGGUUUUCGGAUCGUAAAGCUCUGUUGUAAGAGAAGAACGAGUGUGAGAGUGGAAAGUUCACA
rnacentral:rRNA from 1 species